rnacentral:lncRNA from 1 species
GGCUUCCCUGUCGAGCCGACACCCACGUCUCAACUAUCCAGAAUCCCUGAUGUGUGCUCAAUCUUGGCCCCCGUGGCCCGCGCGCUCCCGGCUGGCGCGGUGGGACCGACCGCGCAGGCUACGGCCUCCGGAGCCUGGAGCCGCGACGUCGCCGGGCUCGGUGCUCCUAGCCGCACCGCUUCCCUUCUCAGAUACACACGGAGCAGGCACAGCGGACCAAGCGCUCCUCGAGAAGCUCUCCCCGACGGGCCGUGGACACGCGCGACACGCUGUCACCAUCCGCGGACUCCCCCGGGAAGCCCCACACCGGCUCCGGCCGCCCCUCUGGGCUGCCGACCCCGCCGCCAUCUUCCUGCCGCGCCGCCCCCGGGCCUCGGCCCUCGGCCCUCAGCCCGCCGCCGCGCGCCCCCGCCGGCCCGCGCGCCCCCGCAGCCGCGAGCUGCACUCCGUGAGCGACGGUUAGGCGCGCGCUUCGAGCGGGCCCAGCGCGGAGGCCCUGCCGCCUUCGAGAAAUUUCCGCGCCCCUGAACCCACACAGGAAAACAAGCCGGGCGCGCCCCCGCGCCGCGGCCUCAGCGCCCCCUCCCCCCAUCGGCGCACCCCUCCCCCCGCCCCCGCCCCCGCCCCGGGCGCGGGUCAAGUGCGGCCCGGGGCACCGCCCGCCCGACCGCCCGCCUGGCCCGCGGCGGAAGAGGCAGCGGCGGAGGCGGCGGCAGCGGCGGCCUCGGCCGGUGUGAUUGAUAGGGACGGCGGCAGCGAGAGCGGCGGCGGCGGCGGCGGCGGAGCGGUUGAGUGACAGCUUACCUGGGUGCCAAUCUUCAUCACACUGACAAGCGGCUGCAGCAAUCGGGACCCGCAGUGCCGCGCCCGCGUCCAACCGUCACGCCGACGCCGGGCCACGCGACACAGCCUCGCUCAAUGGGAGGAGGGCGACGCCGAUGCGCGCCGCAUCAAUAUUCACCGCGGGGGCGGGGCCUGCCGACCCCGGGCCCCGCCCCCGCCCAGCGCGACGGCGGGCGGGGGGCGGGGCGGGUGGGGCGGGGGCGAGGCAGGGGGCGGGGGAGGGCCCAAGCGGGGCGGGGCAGAGGCCGGUCCCGCCCCGCUGCGCGCACUCAGCCAGGCCCCACCCAGCGGCCCAGCCCGGGCGCCAGUAGCAGCCUGCCCCGCCCCAGAGGCAGAGCUUAUGUUUCAUGACCACGCCGUGGGGCGUGGCCCAGAGAGCUAUAGACCACGCCUCCUCUGCGCACUCGUCUGCUCCCUCCCUUCGGAUAAAGGUUUGUGGAACUGGGUGGAACCAUCUGCAGCUCAGGCGGGGAGUACGGGCUGUACCAUCAGAGGACCUUCGCGAUUCUGGGCCUCCCGGCUCUAGCCCUUCGUUCUGAGCGGCGCCUCGCAAUCAAGGUUCUGGAGCUGGGGUAGGCGCGAGGAGGUAGGCGUUCAUCUUUAAAGACCGAAGGACUGAGCGCUUGAGAUGUUUGCCCUGGGAUCUAACCAUGGAUGCAGUCUCCUGACUGACCGUGAAGUGACUGCGGUCUGACAUCUGGUCCGUUAGGACUCCAGGCCAAAAAAAAAAAAAAAAAAAAAAAAAAAAAAAAGAAAGAAAAAGAAAGAAAGAGACCUUUCCUUAGGAGGACUGGACAGUGUUGUCUCUAGUUGAAGCUCUGCCUAACCAGAUCAUCUGCAGCAGCGUACCCCGGGCCCCGUGGCUUCACUGAUCGAAGUAAAAGACAGAGCGAAAGAGGCCCUCAAUUUGCCUGGCUUGUCUAGGCAACAGUUUUAUGCAGUGGCCGCCUGAGUGUGUGAUCGGUGCUUCUCAUCCGUACACAGAUUAAAGCGGUUCUGAUGACCCCACACUCCUCAGGAGGAGCCUUGUACCCCAGGACUGUUGGCUGGAAGGGGCCUGAGGAAGCCGCAGCAUGUGUUUGGUAGGACACCCUCCUGUGUCCUCAAGGCUCCACAGACACCCCAAGGCAUCACUCUCUUUGUAGCUACAGUUCGGUUCACCACAGAACCCACGUGGAAGGAGAAAACCAACUACCAACACAUGUGUGGUAUGCACACACAUUUGUCCACAUACAAUAGCAACAACAAUAUUAAAAUUUGAAAAACUGGGUUUGGGAGCUGAAGAUAUGGCUCAGCUGAUAAGAGUGCUUACCUAGCAUACACAAAACCCUAGGUGGGAUCCCCAACACACAUUAAACCUUACCAGGUUUAAUAUGGUGACAUAUGCCUGUUAUCUCAGCACUUGGGUAGUCGAAGCACAAAGAUCAGAAGGUCAAAUUCAUUCUUAUCUACCUUUUGAGGUCCUAGCCAAUAUGGAAUACAUAGGGACCUUGCCUCAAAGAACAAAGUUAUUAAGCAUUGCAGGGAUUAGCCGGGCGUGGUGGCGCACGCCUUUAAUCCCAGCACUCGGGAGGCAGAGGCAGGCAGAUUUCUGAGUUCGAGGUCAGCCUGGUCUACAAAGUGAUCUCCAGGACAGCCAGGGCUAUACAGAGAAACCCUGUCUCGAAAAAACAAAAAACAAAACAAAACAAAAAAAAAAAAUUGCAGGGAUUAACCAAAGAGAGUAUCCUGUUUUGCUUUCCAUUGCUGUGUUAAAACCCCGACCAAAACAACCUGGGAAAGGCUUAUUUGGUUUUUAUUUCCACAUCAUGGCCUGUCACCAAGGGAUGUUAAGGCAGGAACUGAAGCUGGGCUGUUACUCCUCUCCAUGGUUUGAUCAUCGUAAUUUCUAUACAACUGUGGAUCACCUGCCCAGGGUUGUCAACACCCACAAUGGUUGGGUCAUUAGAUCACCAUACCAUAGGUCCCAGGAAUCCUUUGCUUCCUGUGUGAGACCACACAGGACCUCCUCCUCCUAGGGCUGAGAUCCAGAUGGCUUCUAAGGAAAGAAUAUUAUACAUUUAACGCU